rnacentral:tRNA from 1 species
GCCUGUGGGAUAGCUCAGUUAGCAGAGUAUGAGAAUCUUACUCUCAGGCUUGUGGGUUCAAGCCCCACACUGGGCA